rnacentral:tRNA from 1 species
GUCUCUGUGGCGCAAUCGGUUAGCGCGUUCGGCUGUUAACCGAAAGGUUGCUGUUCAAGCCCAGCCAGGGACG